rnacentral:rRNA from 1 species
AUUGAACGCUGGCGGAAUGCUUUACAUAUGCAAGUCGAACGGUAGAGGGGGCAACCCCUCGAGAGUGGCGAACGGGUGAGUAAUAUAUCGGAACGUGCCCAGUCGUGGGGGAUAACGUAGCGAAAGUUACGCUAAUACCGCAUACGAUCUAAGGAUGAAAGCGGGGGAUCGCAAGACCUCGCGCGAUUGGAGCGGCCGAUAUCAGAUUAGGUAGUUGGUGGGGUAAAGGCUCACCAAGCCAACGAUCUGUAGCUGGUCUGAGAGGACGACCAGCCACACUGGAACUGAGACACGGUCCAGACUCCUACGGGAGGCAGCAGUGGGGAAUUUUGGACAAUGGACGCAAGUCUGAUCCAGCCAUUCCGCGUGCAGGAUGAAGGCCCUCGGGUUGUAAACUGCUUUCGUACGGAACGAAAAGGUCUCUCUUAAUACGGGGGGCUCAUGACGGUACCGUAAGAAUAAGCACCGGCUAACUACGUGCCAGCAGCCGCGGUAA